UUGCUUCUAUGACGUUAGCGGCGGACGGGUGAGUAACACGUGGGCAACCUGCCUGUAAGACUGGGAUAACUUCGGGAAACCGAAGCUAAUACCGGAUAGGAUCUUCUCCUUCAUGGGAGAUGAUUGAAAGAUGGUUUCGGCUAUCACUUACAGAUGGGCCCGCGGUGCAUUAGCUAGUUGGUGAGGUAACGGCUCACCAAGGCAACGAUGCAUAGCCGACCUGAGAGGGUGAUCGGCCACACUGGGACUGAGACACGGCCCAGACUCCUACGGGAGGCAGCAGUAGGGAAUCUUCCGCAAUGGACGAAAGUCUGACGGAGCAACGCCGCGUGAGUGAUGAAGGCUUUCGGGUCGUAAAACUCUGUUGUUAGGGAAGAACAAGUACAAGAGUAACUGCUCGUACCUUGACGGUACCUAACCAGAAAGCCACGGCUAACUACGUGCCAGCAGCCGCGGUAAUACGUAGGUGGCAAGCGUUAUCCGGAAUUAUUGGGCGUAAAGCGCGCGCAGGCGGUUUCUUAAGUCUGAUGUGAAAGCCCACGGCUCAACCGUGGAGGGUCAUUGGAAACUGGGGAACUUGAGUGCAGAAGAGAAAAGCGGAAUUCCACGUGUAGCGGUGAAAUGCGUAGAGAUGUGGAGGAACACCAGUGGCGAAGGCGGCUUUUUU
rnacentral:rRNA from 1 species